CCUACGGGAGGCAGCAGUGGGGGAUAUUGGACAAUGGGGGAAACCCUGAUCCAGCGACGCCGCGUGAGUGAAGCAGUAUUUCGGUAUGUAAAGCUCUAUCAGCAGGGAAGAAAGAAAUGACGGUACCUGAGUAAGAAGCGCCGGCUAACUACGUGCCAGCAGCCGCGGUAAUACGGAGGGGGCAAGCGUUAUCCGGAUUUAUUGGGUUUAAAGGGUGCGCAGGCGGAGGUAAAAGUCAGCGGUAAAAUCGCGGGGCCAAACCCCGCUCCGCCGUUGAAACUGUGUCCCUUGAGUGCGCGAAGGGUAGGCGGAAUGCGUGGUGUAGCGGUGAAAUGCAUAGAUAUCACGCAGAACUCCGAUCGCGAAGGC
rnacentral:rRNA from 1 species